UGGAGGAGAAGUGAUCAUUAAACAAAAAGGUUUUGAUGUGUUUUGAAGAAAAGAAGAGGUUGGGGGAGGGAGUUCCAGAGUUUGAUUUAUGCAAUAUGUGCCCAAUCCAUUUUUCAGGCCAUCUGAUGUUAAAAAUAUGUUUGAAGCAGUGGUUGGUGAAGACAUGUAGCUUGUUCAGGAGGUUCCUUGUUGUUUUCCACAUCUCAGAUCUGUAGAGCAGUAUGUUUUUUCUCAUGCUUGAAUUGAAUAGCUGUAGUUUGGUCUUGAGUGUGAUGUUACCCUUGAGCACUUUUGGUCUUCUGUGUGCUAAUGUGGAGACCUGUCUGAGGUGCAUUCUGGUCUGCCUCUCUCAAUUUCUCUUGCAUUUGUUGGUGGUUUUGGGAUAGUAAUGUGAUAUCAUCUGCAAAGUCUAGGUCGUCCAGUUGUGUAAACAGGGUCCAUUGGGCACCUAUUGUCAGUGGCUUGCCGCAUGAUCCAGUUGACCGCUUAGCGGAAUAGUAUGGAGAAAGUAAACAGUACAGCCUUGUCUAACUCCUGUUGUGAUGUGAAAUGCCUGUCAGCUGGCCUUCAUGUAUGAUUCUACUUUGCUCAUUACUCUUACAGUUAUGCAUUAACAUUUACAUAUUGUCCCACUCCUAUACUGUUCAUAGGUUUUUAGUCAGGAUCAAUCCUGACUCAUCCAAGUGCACUGCCAAGGAGCAGAUCAGCAAGAUGACUGGGAGGGUGGUGAAGAGGAAAACUACAUACAUGAACCCCAGUGUCCUCUCAUUUAUUAGGGAUUUCACAGAGUUCUACUUGCUUGACUAGAUGAAGGGUUCCAACUGAUUCUGGUCAGGGCAUGCAAGGUUUCAUAAGGUUUCAUGUAAAUUUUCUAUUUGUUAUUUUAUUUGAAUGUUCUAAAUGUUAUAUUUUACUGUUCAAUGUUUUAUUAUGUUGUACCUGGUGAGGACCACCCAUCUAAGCACCAACCCACUGUUCCACUGUUGAGGUUGAGAACUGUACUGACAACUGUAUUAGGCCUAUAUAUUAUUAUAUUAUAUUAUAUUAUACACAUAUUAUAUUAUACAUAUAUUAUAUAUU